rnacentral:rRNA from 1 species
AUGGGCACUGGCACAUAUCUUUUGGACAAAGAGCACCUACCCAUCUAUCCUGACUUUGAGGACAACACCAUUGUGAUGAAUGAAAAUGAACCAUCGUCUGUGCAAGCACAAGAGAAGAAAGAGAAAGCAAGGACCGAGAAAGCUGCUAGGAUGCCAACUGCUGAAGAGGGAUCUCAGUAUUUUCUGAAGAGCAAGCAAGAUCAGCUUGUCUACUUGAUUGCCUCCACCUUGAGGAUUGAGAAGGGCUUGGCCACCCUGACUCAAAACCAGGAGAGCUUGGAGAGAAUCAUAGAGCAGAAGUUUUAUGAUCUUGAUGUCAAGGUCACUGAGAUCCAAUCAGUUGUUGAGCAACUUCAGGAGGAAGUGGAGGAUAAGAAGGGCAAGUCUACUAUAGAUGCAUUUGCUAGAGUGCCCAGAGGACAAAGAUCUGCUGCAAUGCCUAUCCCAGAAACCAGAGCUACAUCAUCUGCACCAGCAACCGCUUCAGUGCCACCAGCUCUAGCAGCCACUCCACCAACUCCAGCUUCAUCGACUGAUGCCUUCGUUCUUGGAGUCAUCUCUACACCACCGCUUGAAGACCAAGCCUGA